rnacentral:rRNA from 1 species
UACGUAGGGUGCUAGCGUUGUCCGGAUUUAUUGGGCGUAAAGAGCGUGUAGGCGGCUUGGUAGGUCUGCUGUGAAAACUCGAGGCUUAACCUCGAGCUGUCGGCGGAAACCAUCUGGCUAGAGUCCGGAAGAGGAGAAUGGAAUUCCCGGUGUAGCGGUGAAAUGCGCAGAUAUCGGGAAGAACACCCGUGGCGAAGGCGGUUCUCUGGGACGGUACUGACGCUGAGACGCGAAAGCGUGGGGAGCGAACAGG